GGGUCCGCGCGUGAUCGCGGGGCUGCCGGGCGGGCGCAGUGUUAUCCACACAGUGAAAUAAGACUGUCAGAAAAUUUCAGCCUCGUGGAUAGUAAUUUUAAUGCCUGUACCACCUGUUUCUGGACAGUUCUCUUGGAGGAGCGAAGAAUCAGAGUGAGGCCAAGACUCUUUUCUGGCAGAGUAUUCCAUGAUACACUGAGUUGUCUUCCCCUCUGUCAAAGUUCUCUCUUGCACUCUGAAGGGCUGCGCACAUUCUGAUUAGGCUCCUGAGUGCCAGUUCCUUAAUUUUGGGACCAUUUGACUGGUGUGGUCCCUUACACCCAGUACCUUCUACACUCGUCGUCUGGUUUCCCUUCUGCAAAGCUAUUUUCUGC
rnacentral:lncRNA from 1 species